CGUACUGUGAAGCAUCCUGUUUAAGUCAGGCAACGAGCCGAGACCCACGCCAACAGUUGCCAGCUCGUCUCCGGGAUGGUGGGGACACUGUUGGGACCGCUCUGCUAAAGAGGAGGAAGGGAAUGGGCAACGGUAGGUCAGCAUGCCCCGAAUUAUCUGGGCUACACGCGGGCUACAAUGGGUGGGACAAUGGGUAUCGACACCGAAAGGUGAAGGCAAUCUCCUAAACCCAUCCGUAGUUCGGAUUGUGGGCUGCAACUCGCCCACAUGAAGCUGGAAUCUGUAGUAAUCGUGUCUCAAAAUGGCACGGUGAAUAUGUCCCUGCUCCUU
rnacentral:rRNA from 1 species